UAGUCAUAUGCUUGUCUCAAAGAUUAAGCCAUGCAAGUGCCUGUUCAAACCUUCCUAUGGUAAAACCGCGAAAAGCUCAUUAAAUCAGAUGUGGUUCAUUGGAUCAUACUUAAAUACUACAGGGAUACCUGUAGUAAUUCUAGAGCUAAUACGUGCCUCGAUGCCGUGAUUCGCAAGAUGAGCGGUGCAAUUAUUAGAUCGCAAGCCAAUAUGGAGAAAUCUGUAUACUUGUGAUGACUCUGGAUAAUUUUGUAUGAUCGCAGUCGGCUUCGGUCGGCGAUGGAUCCAUCAAACGUCUGCCCUAUCAACUAAUGAUGGUAGGUGAUAUGCCUACCAUGGUUAUGACGGGUAACGGGGAAUCAGGGUUCGAUUCCGGAGAGGGAGCCUGAGAAACGGCUACCACAUCCAAGGAAGGCAGCAGGCACGCAAAUUACCCACUCUUGGCAAGAAGGAGGUAGUAAAGACAAAUAUCGAUGCGGAACUCAUUCGAGGCUCUGCAAUCGAAAUGAAAGCAAUAUAAAUCCUUCAUUAAGGACCUAUUGGAGGGCAAGUCUGGUGCCAGCAGCCGCGGUAACUCCAGCUCCAAUAGCGUAUAUUAAAAUUGCUGCAGUUAAAAAGCUCGUAGUUGGAUCUGGACAAUGACCUGAAAGCUGGCUUUGGUUAGACUGCGUUUGUGGUUUGACUGAGGUUAGUUAUUAGGGUCAUGUCUCGUAGCUGUGUCUAUUCACUGGUUUGCGCCAGUGUUUAGAUGAUGUUGGGUGAUGCUACUUCUCCUGCAAGGGAGGGGUGCUAACUCGAUGUCAUGUUAAGCAAUGCUCUUCAUUGAGUGUUCUUGACGGACAGCACGUUUACUUUGAACAAAUUCGAGUGCUCAAAGCGGACACCCUGUGUCUGAAAAGUCUUGCAUGGAAUAAUGAAAUAGGACUUCGGUUCUAUUUCGUUGGUUUGAUAGACCCGAAGUAAUGAUAAAUAGAGACUGACGGGGGCAUUUGUAUGGCAGCGCGAGAGGUGAAAUUCAUGGACCGUUGCCAGACAACUAAAGCGAAAGCAUCUGCCAAGUAUGUUUUCAUUUACCAGGAGCGAAAGUCAGAGGUUCGAAGACGAUUAGAUACCGUCCUAGUUCUGACCAUAAACGAUGCCAUCUGAUAAUCCGUGGUCUCUCCAUCACGUGGGACCACGGGCAGUCCCCGGGAAACCUGUAAGUUUAUGGGUUCCGGGGAAAGUAUGGUUGCAAAGCUGAAACUUAAAGGAAUUGACGGAAGGGCACCACCAGGAGUGGAGCUUGCGGCUUAAUUUGACUCAACACGGGAAAACUCACCCGGUCCGGACACUAUGUGGAUUGACAGAUUGAUAGCUCUUUCAUGAUUCGGUGGUUAGUGGUGCAUGGCCGUUCUUAGUUCGUGGUAUGAAUUGUCUGGUUAAUUCCGUUAACGAACGAGACUCCACCCUGCUAAUUAGUGCGCAGAUCAGCUUAUUUGGUUUCUGUUAAGUGUCCGUAAGGGCGCUUUAGAGUCAUUUAAGUCUGUGAUGCUACUUAGAGGCACAGGUGGAUAAGCCAAAACCACAUGAAAAGGAGCAAUAACAGGUCUGUGAUGCCCUUAGAUGUCCGGGGCCGCACGCGUGCUACAAUGAUAGUGAUAGAGAGUCUGCUCGUCUUGCCCGAAAGGGUUGGGUAAACUUUUCAAUCACUACCAUGACUGGGAUCGGGAUUUGUAAUUAUCUCCCGUGAACCAGGAAUUCCUAGUAAGCACAAGUCAUAAGCUUGUGCUGAAUACGUCCCUGCCCUUUGUACACACCGCCCGUCGCUACUACCGAUUGAAUGGUUUAGCAAGGCCAAUGGAUUGCUGCUCUGUUUACGAAAGUGGCAGAGUGGUGAGAAGCUGGCCGAACUUGAUCAUUUAGAGGAAGUACAAGUCGUAACAAGGUUUCCGU
rnacentral:rRNA from 1 species